UGGGGAAUUUUGGACAAUGGGCGAAAGCCUGAUCCAGCAAUGCCGCGUGUGUGAAGAAGGCCUUCGGGUUGUAAAGCACUUUUGUCCGGAAAGAAAUGGCUCUGGUUAAUACCUGGGGUCGAUGACGGUACCGGAAGAAUAAGGACCGGCUAACUACGUGCCAGCAGCCGCGGUAAUACGUAGGGUCCAAGCGUUAAUCGGAAUUACUGGGCGUAAAGCGUGCGCAGGCGGUUGUGCAAGGCCGAUGUGAAAUCCCCGAGCUUAACUUGGGAAUUGCAUUGGUGACUGCACGGCUAGAGUGUGUCAGAGGGGGGUAGAAUUCCACGUGUAGCAGUGAAAUGCGUAGAGAUGUGGAGGAAUACCGAUGGCGAAGGCAGCCCCCUGGGAUAACACUGACGCUCAUGCACGAAAGCGUGGGGAGCAAACAGGAUUAGAUACCCUGGUAGUCCACGCCCUAAACGAUGUCAACUAGUUGUUGGGGAUUCAUUUCCUUAGUAACGUAGCUAACGCGUGAAGUUG
rnacentral:rRNA from 1 species